UGUUUGAAAAACAAACGAUUGUAGGAAAUGUACGAAAUGGCCUUACGACUAUUUUUGAGAAAAAACAAUCGGGGUGGUAGAAAUUUGGUUAGAUUUAAGUUUUGUUUUCGGGAUAGAAAUGCUAUUUUUAGGCGUGAUUGUAUCCCCCCCAAAAAACGAAAUGAAGAAGAAGGGGGAAUUAGUUAUGCCGAUCACAUGGCAGACACAAGACAACACAACUGCACGCCCACCGAUUCUUCUUCUUCUUCUUCUUUUCAUCUCUUUUUUUUUUCUUGUGAUUUUCGGUGUUGCCUGUAGGGGCCGAUUGUCUGCUCCUCUUAUUAUCUCUCCCAGCUCCUGGUAGAGGAACAACCCGAAAGAAAUAAUGAUCACAUGAGAAAGAAAGAAAAACCUCUGCGUGUCUCUUUCUACCCUAAACAAAAGUUCUCCACCUUUUGUUGUGAAUAGAAUCAGGAAAAACUAAAUCUCCCAGUCAGAGCUCCGGGGUUGUGGACAACGCCCAUCCUGGCCGUUUCUUUUUGAUUUUUUGUCUGAUAUUUUCAGUCCCAAUGGUCCAUCAUCAUCGUCUUGUGUGUGUGCACAUUGGAACGGGCGUCAAGGUGGACACAAUGAUGAUGAGAUUUGUCGGAUUUCUCUUCUUCCCAACCGAAAAAGAAGAAGAAGAAGAAGAAGAAAAGAUUAUUUCUUUUCUUUUCUUUUUCGUCUCCCGUUGUGUUUUUCAUUUCCCAUCCGCGCGCGGUGCAGUCAGAGAUGAUCCAUCCAUCCAUUUGAGCAGAUAUAUAGAAAGAACUUACUACUACUACCAGCAGCGAUAACUGGGCGAUCCGCCGCAAAUCAGCUACCGGAUGCUGCAGCAUCAGCAGAAACUAUUAAUUCUUUUAAUAAAUCUUCUUCUUUAUCUAUUCAAUUCAUUCAGUCGGGAUGGUCCGUGGAACUUUUUUUCUUCUUUUCCAUGUCCGCCUACCUUUUUUUUUUAUUCUCCAGCAACAUCUUUUUUCGCUAAUUGGAGGGGAACCUUUUCUGUCCGGUAGGACGGACGCCGGGGUUUUCUAGACCUUUUUUGUCAUCACUGCGUGUGCCAUUAUGGCACAUGGGGGAACUGAUCCUCUUGUUGUUGUGGGGGAUAUUAGACGCCCAACACAAUGACGUCCCAUUUCUAAAAGACCCUGACAGUCUCAGCAGCAACCGGGCCCGUCUUCUUCUUUAAUAUCUCCCACCUUAUUUGGUGUUGUGUGUGGAAUAUCAUCGAGAGUCCUUAACGUUUUGUGACGUGUCAUUGUCCCCCUUCCUUGGUUCUUUUCACGUCCGCAGCUUUUUUCCGCCGCAUCAUCGAGUGACACGAGCGUUUUUUCUUCCGUCAAACAAAAACGGACGGACGGACGGAAUAAAAGUCUUUUUCAAAUAUAAAAGACAAAAUUUUACUUGUCGAUUGUUGUGUCCGUUUCCCCCUCCCGGCUCUAUCAUUGCACCUUUCUUCUGUUGAUUGGCUUCAAAAAUAUUGAAUUUCUAUGAAGAUGAUGAUGAUGAUGGUGUACGUAAGUAUAAUAUUUAAAGUAAUCACAUGUAUAGACUCGGCCAGCAGAGAAUUUCGUUCUCCAAGAUAAUUUGAACUUUCAAUUUGGGAUUUUGGAAAAUUUGAUAAAACUGGGACACAACAGUAGCGAAAAGCCAUUCUCUCCUUUUAUUCUCUUUUCUGUAGAAAUUUAUUGUUUCAAAACUAUUGUCGAGCGAAAGAAAAUGACGUUUUAUUUCUAGACUUUGGAGGCUGGCCGGCAUAUUAUAUCCAGUAAUGAGAUAACACGAAAAACUUCUUUUCUCUCCGGCGCAGUUGAGCUUUUUUUGGUUGGCGCUGGCGCGGCCGCGCGUCCGUCCAAUUAUACCAACCAGACAACAACAACACCAACACCACUCGACUUGUUUUGUGUGCUGUUGUUGUUGUUGCAGUUAUAGCCGCUGGGUUAGUGCUCCUUGACAAGAAGAAUGUUGCAUCCAUCCCCACUUUCACUGGACGGCAGCAGCGUCCAGCAGCAGCUCAACCGGCCACUUUUCUCAUCGCGUGCGCCAACGGGGUCGACAUCAGAAAAUGGGGAAAAACAAACAGAAAAAUCGUUCCAUUUCCAGAUGGAUGGCCAACGUAAGAGAGUUUUUGGAACGCCGAGAGUAGAUGAUGGAAAUCUGAGUCCAGGCCAGGCCAGUUCAGGGAUGAUGGAACACAGUGGCCGAGACAAACACACGCUAGAGAGAGAGACGUACGUACGUGUUUUUCAAAAAAAUAAAAGACAAUGGCGUCUCUAUAUGUAGAUGGGCAUUGACAGUCGUUUCUUCAAACCAAACUGGGAGUCAUAUCCCCUUUUUUCUUUCUUUCUUUCUUUCUUUCUUCUCAAUCACGCUCAAAACUCCCGCCGGGCUUCUUCUUCUUCUGUUCCAGUGGCUCUCCUUAUUUUUAUUCCACAGCCAGAAAAAAACAACUGGAAAUAUUCACAGAAGAAGAAGAAGAAGAAGAAGAUGAUGAUUAUUAGAUGAUAUUUAUAGAGUCGCCUGCGGACACCGUGGUGGUUGGUGGCUGGUGGAAACAAAAGAACGUCGUGAUAUUUAUGUAAUCAGCGCGGGGGGCUCCGACCCAGGUAUACUGCAGGACGUGAGAUGGAAUUGAAAGAAGAUGUGCCUCUGCGCAUAUUUUUUAAAAAAAUGUACAUUCCCCCCACCCCCAGCAGCAGCCACCGGCGCACACACGUAUCUGCCGGGCACAUGUAUAUAACAGAGACUACUGGUAUAUAACAAGAGGGUGGAAAAACAAUGGGCCCUUGUUUUCUUUCUCUACUUCUGCUCAGCUUUUGUUUCUUUUUUGGGGGGUGUUAAAAGGGGAAGCUGAUAUUUCCCUAGUCACGAUUUCCCUCUCUCUUGUUUAGGUUGGAAGGGGGGGGGGAGAGUUGUUGUUAUUCCAUCCAUCUUGAGAUUCCAGCAGGGUUGCUGGAACAUGUAGGAGAGCGAGGUGUGUUCUUCCACCUGCCCAUAAGUGAUGACGUAUGGCUUUUCUUCUUUUCCCCCCUUUAUAAGUUAUACGACGGGGGUUGUAGGGUCGAACGGACCAGGUCAAACGGCCGAUGCAUCUUCUUCUUCUUUCCUCCUGGAAAAAUAUCAUCGACUGAAUAUUCAAAAAACGCCCAGGGAAGAUGGAAAACAAUGCGAAAAUAAAAACCAGAAUGAAAAACUCUCCGGUCGGUUAGGAGAGCUCCCGGUGAGUUGGCAAAUGGAAAAACAACGAUUCGCCGCUGUUGUUGUUGUUGUUCCAGGAACAAGGAAAAGGAGUUUUGCGGGAGUCAUUCACAACAAAAUGAGAGAAAAUGAAUUUUUUUUUCUUUUCGGUACAUCCAGAAAAUAAUUUAAAAAAUAAAAUAAAAUAAAAGUUUUGUGUGUUGGAAGCGAAACGAAUCAUCCUGUAAGAAACGAAUGAACCAACAAACGGGAAUCACGCUUUAAUUGACUGCGUGUUGUUAUUUUAUAUUAUUAUUAGAUAUAAACUAACGGACGUGUAUUUAAAAAAAGCGAGAAACGAACACCCAAAGGUCCUUUUUUUAAAAAAAAUAAAAACGCGCCAAAUGGAGAGUCUGAAGAGAUUUCUCCCAUAAGUUUGAACGAAUAAAAUCCAAACGUGUCGCUGUCGCCUAGUUGAGAGCCCACAAAAGGAUUCUUUUUCUUGGAGGGGGGAACACAUAUUUUUGUUAUUUAUUUUUUUAGUGGCGACCAUUUGAGAUUUUCUCUCAAAAUAAGGAAGGAAAAGACGGACAAGUUUGGAGAGAAUUGAACUUUUUAAGAAAAAGUGUCGCGCGCGUUCUUCAAAAGAUAUAUAACCCAACCCAACUCAGGAAAAAAGAUGUCCAGGAAUAAGUUGUAGCGCGCCGUAUAAAUGAGUUGUAAAAAUUUUUUAAGUUUCUUCCUUGCAGAACUAUAUAUAUAUAUUUUUUCGCUCCUCUUGUAUUUUUAUGACAUUUGGGGAAUAUGUAGAAGAAAUAACUGACCGACCUUCUUCUUUUGACAAAAACACAAAGGGGCAGGUAUAUAUAUUGGGGGCAGCUGCUGGACACGAGACCUUCUCUCCGUCGACCUUUUUUAAACCAACUAAAGAAGAAAAAAAGCCUACGAUGACCAACUGUGUGCCAAGGCUUCUUCUUCUUGUUUCCCUUCUGUUGGAAAAACUUUUUUUCCCUCUUGAAGAAUCACAGCUGCUGCUGUUGCUGGACUAGGACGACGACAGUCAGUUUUUAAAACCCCCCCGCCAUAAUAAUAGUAACCCAAUCUCCCUUGUAUAUAUACAUUUUCUCUUCUAUCUUCUUUUAGGUCUGUGGCUAUUUUGUGUGUCCAGCGGAAGUUAUUGAUUUGACUCCCUCGACCAGACUGAUGCGAUGAAGCUACAAGUUUCUUUUUUUCUCUUUUUCGGCUUUUCACGUCAACCGUCUAUAGUCUUGAACCAAAAAGGACAACGGCAAACACAAGAAAAGAAAAAACCACUUGACUUUUUUCCUUUUUCCCAAAAAACGGCAGCAGCUGUGUGAACUGCCAUUGGAAUCAAGAAGAAGAAAAGGAAGCGAGAAAAUUGAGGUGUCGCCAUCUCCAUUAUUAUAUACAUUUCCUUGUGUCUUUUGGCCCUUUUUUCUCACGGAAUCGAUUAGAGAGCCCCGGCUGCCGUGUGUACACUAUGAGCUGCUGUGCUGUGCUGUGCUGGCCGCAGGUAUAGACACAACUAAUAAACAUUGUCGUCUCUCUCUACUAUACAACGUUCACACAACCGACCGAGUUUGGAACCUUUGAAAAGGUUGUGCGACCGUGACCUGGCCCGCAUCAUGUUCUCAUAAUCACCGAGAGAGCAACUUUCUCGUUAUAGAUCAGGGAGGAUCUAUCUACAAUCUGCUGGCGGAUAUUGCGUCACGACAAUUCAAAUGGACACACAUUUUUCCAUAUGAAUCACGUCAGCAGCAGCAGCAGCUACCGUGUGGUCGCUUUUCUCUUGUGUGUGUGGACGUCACGGAUGACUUGGCUUUAGCACAUCGUCGACACACUCACAGAAAAAACCGCCAUAAGAUUACGACAAGUAUAACCGCCACCGCCGUUCGUGUUGUUUUCCUUUUUUUUCCUUUUUACACGAAACCCGCAGGUGAUGACGCGGUCGGCCGAGCGCGACAUCGGCCGUCAACAUUUUCUUUUUAUUUCUAAAUUGUUUUUUUCUUUUUCUUUUAUGCGGGAAAUAGAUAUAUAUAUAUCCAAUCGUGUCCUCAUUUCGUUUUGGGUUAACCCCCAUUGAAAGAAAAAAGAAUUUGAUUAUGUACCGAUAUCUAUUUAGGCCUAGCGGUCGUUUUCCUUUUUAUUUUGUGGAAUCAAGACUCACGAACGGAAUGAAAACCGGAAUUUUUUUGAAGAAAAUUUACGAGACGUGGACACCCCCAA
rnacentral:lncRNA from 1 species